rnacentral:lncRNA from 1 species
CUCAGGUGAUUCGCCCGCCUCGGCCUCCCGAAGUGCUGGGAUUACAGGCGUGAGCCACCGCACCCAGCCCAAACCCACAGUUUUAAUCAUGCUUUUGCUUGGCAAGCCGAUUUCUCUAAGCCAGAGUGAGCCGCAAGGAGAGCCCACGGGUAUUCAUUUCACUUACUCUUUUCCUGUGCCGGGUAGUUUGAGGUGCUUGAGGAUGCAGCAGUGAACGAUGUUGAUGACAGUCUCUGCCCUCGGGCAGCUUCCUUUCUAGUAGGAGACAAUAUGGAAAUAAGAGAGUAUCGUUGGCAAUACUAUGCUGACUGGCAGGGAUGGACUGAGGACUUUACAUAGGGCAGUCAGGCGAAGUCUCUAAGUAAGAGGACACUGAGUUACAAGGGUGACGAGCCAGACAGGACUGAAGGAGCUCUGGAGGAGGAAUUUGCCAGAAAGAAAGACCAGGAAAGGCAAACCCCUCGAAGUUGGAACAAGCUUGGCUUAAUGAAAUAAUCAAAAGGCGAGAAAGAAAACUUCUGUGACCAAGCGUAUGGGGGGCUUUCCCCAUACACCAAGAAAGCAGUUCGACACUAUCCACCUGGAAGUCACGUCAGAUCCUACAGAACUUGUCAACAACUCAGUCCCACAAAAGUGCCCCUGACUUGAGACAUCAAUUGCAAGUCCGAGCUUCUGGAACUUCCCACCAACCAGCUAUUAAUUGGCAUUCCCAUGAAGCUCCUUUUGGGUUCAGGGCUGCCUCCACUCCUGUGGCUGCUUCGAGGGUUGCCAGCGGCGGGGCAGAGGCGCCAGUCUAUGGUCCGGCACCAGGCUGUUAAAUGCCUAUUCAAGGAUCCACAUUCCCUGAGAAACCACCUUUGCAGAAUUUUAAGGCAGCAGGCAAGAAGAACCCAUCAGGCUGUGAUACCUGUGCCACUUGCUCAUGAAGGGCCACCAGCUGCUGGAGCCGUACCUGAUG